rnacentral:rRNA from 1 species
GACGAACGCUGGCGGCGUGCCUAAUACAUGCAAGUAGAACGCUGAAGGAGGAGCUUGCUUCUCCGGAUGAGUUGCGAACGGGUGAGUAACGCGUAGGUAACCUGCCUGGUAGCGGGGGAUAACUAUUGGAAACGAUAGCUAAUACCGCAUAACAGUAGAUAUUGCAUGAUAUCUGCUUGAAAGGUGCAAUUGCAUCACUACCAGAUGGACCUGCGUUGUAUUAGCUAGUUGGUGAGGUAACGGCUCACCAAGGCGACGAUACAUAGCCGACCUGAGAGGGGGAUCGGCCACACUGGGACUGAGACACGGCCCAGACCCCUACGGGAGGCAGCAGUAGGGAAUCUUCGGCAAUGGACGGAAGUCUGACCGAGCAACGCCGCGUGAGUGAAGAAGGUUUUCGGAUCGUAAAGCUCUGUUGUAAGAGAAGAACGAGUGUGAGAGUGGAAAGUUCACACUGUGACGGUAUCUUACCAGAAAGGGACGGCUAACUACGUG